AUUGAACGCUGGCGGCAGGCUUAACACAUGCAAGUCGAGCGGGGUGAUGGUGCUUGCACUAUCACUUAGCGGCGGACGGGUGAGUAAUGCUUAGGAAUCUGCCUAUUAGUGGGGGACAACAUCUCGAAAGGGAUGCUAAUACCGCAUACGUCCUACGGGAGAAAGCAGGGGAUCACUUGUGACCUUGCGCUAAUAGAUGAGCCUAAGUCGGAUUAGCUAGUUGGUGGGGUAAAGGCCUACCAAGGCGACGAUCUGUAGCGGUUCUGAGAGGAUGCUCCGCCACACUGGGACUGGGGCACGGCCCGAACUCCUACGGGAGGCAGCAGUGGGGAAUAUUGGACAAUGGGGGGAACCCUGAUCCAGCCAUGCCGCGUGUGUGAAGAAGGCCUUAUGGUUGUAAAGCACUUUAAGCGAGGAGGAGGCUCUUUUGGUUAAUACCCAAGAUGAGUGGACGUUACUCGCAGAAUAAGCACCGGCUAACUACGUGCCAGCCGCCGCCGUAA
rnacentral:rRNA from 1 species